rnacentral:rRNA from 1 species
UACAUCGGAACGUGUCCUGAAGUGGGGGAUAACGCAUCGAAAGAUGUGCUAAUACCGCAUAAUCUCUCAGGAGGAAAGCAGGGGAUCGAAAGACCUUGCGCUUUUGGAGCGGCCGAUGUCUGAUUAGCUAGUUGGUGGGGUAAUGGCCUACCAAGGCAACGAUCAGUAGUUGGUCUGAGAGGAUGGCCAACCACACUGGGACUGAGACACGGUCCAGACUCCUACGGGAGGCAGCAGUGGGGAAUUUUGGACAAUGGGGGAAACCCUGAUCCAGCAAUGCCGCGUGAGUGAAGAAGGCCUUCGGGUUGUAAAGCUCUUUCAGUUGAGAAGAAAAGGUUGUGACUAAUAAUCAUAAUUUAUGACGGUAUCAACAGAAGAAGCACCGGCUAACUACGUG